GUUCUGUGGCAGUCAUUGUUUGUGUUUGUUUAUGUUUCACAAAAAGUUUAACCUGAGUCAAGCCGUACAACAAAUAUAUAAAUCAUAUUACAUCCAUACAUUGAUAGUAGUAUACAGCUGUUAAAACAUAAUAAAUAUAUAUGACACACUGGUAUCGGAUCGGUACUUGG